rnacentral:rRNA from 1 species
UACGGAGGGAGCUAGCGUUGUUCGGAUAUACUGGGCGUAAAGCGCACGUAGGCGGCGCCGUAAGUCAGGGGUGAAAUCCCGGAGCUCAACUCCGGAACUGCCCUUGAAACUGCAGUGCUAGAAUCCCGGAGAGGCGAGUGGAAUUCCGAGUGUAGAGGUGAAAUGCGCAGAUAUCAGGAGGAACACCAAUGGCGAAGGCGGCUCACUGGCCUGAUACUGACGCUGAGGCACGAAAGCGUGGGGAGCAAACAGG